UGCCGCGUGUGUGAAGAAGGCCUUAUGGUUGUAAAGCACUUUAAGCGAGGAGGAGGCUACUGCUGCUAAUACCUUCAGAUAGUGGACGUUACUCGCAGAAUAAGCACCGGCUAACUCUGUGCCAGCAGCCGCGGUAAUACAGAGGGUGCAAGCGUUAAUCGGAUUUACUGGGCGUAAAGCGCGCGUAGGCGGCUAAUUAAGUCAAAUGUGAAAUCCCCGAGCUUAACUUGGGAAUUGCAUUCGAUACUGGUUAGCUAGAGUGUGGGAGAGGAUGGUAGAAUUCCAGGUGUAGCGGUGAAAUGCGUAAAGAUCUGGAGGAAUACCGAUGGCGAAGGCAGCCAUCUGGCCUAACACUGACGCUGAGGUGCGAAAGCAUGGGGAGCAAACAGGAUUAGAUACCCUGGUAGUCCAUGCCGUAAACGAUGUCUACUAGCCGUUGGGGCCUUUGAGGCUUUAGUGGCGCAGCUAACGCGAUAAGUAGACCGCCUGGGGAGUACGGUCGCAAGACUAAAACUCAAA
rnacentral:rRNA from 1 species